AGGAUGAACGCUGGCGGUCUGCUUAACACAUGCAAGUCGAACGGAGUAGCAAUACUUAGUGGCGGACGGGUGAGUAACGCGUGAGAAUCUACCUUCAGGACGGAGACAACAGUUGGAAACGACUGCUAACCCCCGAUGUACUGAAAAGGCAAAUAUUUAUAGCCUGAAGAAGAGCUCGCGUCCGAUUAGCUAGUUGGAGAGGUAAAAGCUCACCAAGGCGACGAUCGGUAGCUGGUCUGAGAGGACGAUCAGCCACACUGGGACUGAGACACGGCCCAGACUCCUACGGGAGGCAGCAGUGGGGAAUAUUGGACAAGUGGGCGCAAGCCUGAUCCAGCAAUGCCGCGUGGAUGAAGUAAGGUUUUCGGAUUGUAAAGUCCUUUGGCGGGACGAUGAUGACGGUACCCGCAGAAGAACGCCCGGCUAACUCGCGCCAGCAGCCGC
rnacentral:rRNA from 1 species